GAGAAUAUUCUUCUAAUCUGAUGAUAGACGGUUAUUUUUCCGUUGCAGGUGAAUUUGAUAGCUAAACUAAGCCAUCCAUAUCUUUUAGAGUACAAAGAUGCUUGGGUGGACAAGGGGAGCUGUAUAUGCAUCGUUGCCGAUUAUUGCGAAGAUGAAAAUAUGGCGGAGGUCAUGAGGAAGUCUAGAGGAGCAGUUUUCCAG